rnacentral:rRNA from 1 species
GAUGAACGCUGGCGGCGUGCCUAAUACAUGCAAGUCGAGCGAACAGACGAGGAGCUUGCUCCUCUGACGUUAGCGGCGGACGGGUGAGUAACACGUGGAUAACCUACCUAUAAGACUGGGAUAACUUCGGGAAACCGGAGCUAAUACCGGAUAAUAUAUUUAACCGCAUGGUUCAAUAGUGAAAGACGGUUUUGCUGUCACUUAUAGAUGGAUCCGCGCCGCAUUAGCUAGUUGGUAAGGUAACGGCUUACCAAGGCAACGAUGCGUAGCCGACCUGAGAGGGUGAUCGGCCACACUGGAACUGAGACACGGUCCAGACUCCUACGGGAGGCAGCAGUAGGGAAUCUUCCGCAAUGGGUGAAAGCCUGACGGAGCAACGCCGCGUGAGUGAUGAAGGUCUUCGGAUCGUAAAACUCUGUUAUUAGGGAAGAACAAAUGUGUAAGUAACUAUGCACGUCUUGACGGUACCUAAUCAGAAAGCCACGGCUAACUACGUG